rnacentral:rRNA from 1 species
CCUAGGGUGGCAGCAGUGGGGAAUAUUGCACAAUGGAGGGAACUCUGAUGCAGCGACGCCGCGUGAGUGAAGAAGUAAUUCGUUAUGUAAAGCUCUAUCAGCAGGGAAGAAAGUGACGGUACCUGAAAAAGAAGCUCCGGCUAAAUACGUGCCAGCAGCCGCGGUAAUACGUAUGGAGCAAGCGUUAUCCGGAUUUAUUGGGUUUAAAGGGUGCGCAGGCGGUCUGUUAAGUCAGCGGUCAAAGCCCGGGGCUCAACCCCGGCCCGCCGUUGAAACUGGCAGUCUCGAGUUGGAGAGAAGUAUGCGGAAUGCGCGGUGUAGCGGUGAAAUGCAGAGAUAUCGCGCAGAACUCCGAUUGCGAAGGCAGCAUGCCGGCUCCACACUGACGCUGAGGCACGAAAGCGUGGGUAUCGAACAGGAUUAGAUACCCGAGUAGUC